ensembl:lncRNA
GUACAGCCACUGACACCCUCAGUCAUAGAGCAGCUUUUUGCAUGUGAUUGGGGAAUAGAGAGUCUUGCUUGGAUUUCCAGCCACAUGGAUGUUAAAGAAGAAGAAAAAAAAUGGAAGUAACCUUCCACCUAUUUCAUAGCAUGCUCUGAAAAGCAAGCACCAUCCCAAUGGAGACUAGAGGUUUACCAGUAAAAGGUAAUCAGGGCAAGUCCCAAGAUCUUUAAAGAUCCUGAGCACUUUUAAGAAAGAAUCAAGUAUGUGAUUCAACGUCUCUGGCAGAACACCAGACAUGUAAAUGCCCUCUGCCCCCCGCUUACCCAGAGCCAUCGGCAGGAUAAAAGACUGAGCUAUCUCGAAGUGCCGCAAUACAAGAUGUAACAGCUUCCUACCAACUUGGAAAUGAUGCAUUUUGCUGUACCAUCUGAAGCUCAGAUCUAUCUCAUCAAAUAUCGUAAAUGGCUGUAAAAGUGGACAGACGUGGUCCUACCUUGCAGAUGGGGACCUCUAAAGAACAUACAUGAGGGUCUCUUCAGUCAGAGGCAUUUUGCUGCCACCUUUCAGAGGUCACAAGAUCCAGUAUCCAGCAGGGAUGUAAGCAGACUGGCUGCAACAACAUUUUGGCUGGAUGAUGUCCUGAAGGAACUGACUGAUAUAGCUUCCAAGCUGCUCUCCAUCAUAUCUGAAAAGCCAUGGUUGUCAGGUGAAGUUCCUGGUGGCUGGAAAAAAGGAAACAUCGCUCCAAUUUUUAAGAAAGAGAUUAAGGAAGACCUGGGGAACUAUAUGCCAAUGAGAGUCAUACCUGUGUCUGGGAAGAUCAUGGAGCAGAUCCUCCUGGAAACUGUUAAGGCACAUUGCAAGAUGAGGAGGGGAUCUAAGACAGCCAGCAUGACUUCACAAAGGGAAGAUCAUGCCUAACCAAUUUGGUGUCUUUCUACUAUGGAGUGAUGGCAUCAGCGAACAAAGGAAGGGCAACUGAUGCCAGCUACCUGGACUUGUGCAAGGCUUUUGACAUGCUACUACAUCCUUGUCUCUAAACUGGAGAGAUAUGGAUUUAAAGUGUCGAUUGUUUAGUAAAUAAAGAAUUGGUUGGAUAGUUGCAGCCAGCGGGUUAUUAUCAAUGGAUCUAUGUCCACAUGGAGGCCGGUCACAAGUAGCAUCUCCCAGGGGUCCAUCUUGGGACCAGUGCUCUUCAACAUCGUGUUCAGUAACACUGACGGUGAGAUCAAGUGCACCCUCAGCAAGUUUGCUGAUGACACCAAGCUGAACAGUGCAGUUGAG